GGACCAUGGCUCAGUGGCAGAGCAUUUGCUCAGCAUGCUGAAGGCCUAGGUUCAGUUCCCGGCAUCUCCA
rnacentral:tRNA from 1 species